GACGAACGCUGGCGGCGUGCCUAAUACAUGCAAGUUGAGCGAUGAAGAUUGGUGCUUGCACCAAUUUGAAGAGCAGCGAACGGGUGAGUAACGCGUGGGGAAUCUGUCUUUGAGCGGGGGACAACAUUUGGAAACGAAUGCUAAUACCGCAUAACAACUUUAAACAUAAGUUUUAUGUUUGAAAGAUGCAAUUGCAUCACUCAAAGCUGAUUCCGCGUUGUAUUAGCUAGUUGGUGAGGUAAAGGCUCACCAAGGCGUUGAUACAUAGCCGACUUGGGGGGGUGGUCGGCCACAUUGGGACUGGGGCACGGCCCAAACUCCUACGGGAGGCAGCAGGAGGGAAACUUCGGCAAAGGGCGAAAGUCUUACCGAGCAACGCCGCGGGGGGUAAAGAAGUUUUCGGAUCGUAAAACUCUGUUGGUAGGGAAGAACGGUGGUGAGGUUGGAAAGCUCAUCAAGUGACGGUAACUACCCAGAAAGGGACGGCUAACUACGUG
rnacentral:rRNA from 1 species